AAUACAUCGGAACGUGUCCUGGAGUGGGGGAUAGCCCGGCGAAAGCCGGAUUAAUACCGCAUACGCUCUGAGGAGGAAAGCGGGGGAUCUUUCGGGACCUCGCGCUGCAGGGGCGGCCGAUGGCAGAUUAGCUAGUUGGUGGGGUAAAGGCCUACCAAGGCGACGAUCUGUAGCUGGUCUGAGAGGACGACCAGCCACACUGGGACUGAGACACGGCCCAGACUCCUACGGGAGGCAGCAGUGGGGAAUUUUGGACAAUGGGCGCAAGCCUGAUCCAGCAAUGCCGCGUGUGUGAAGAAGGCCUUCGGGUUGUAAAGCACUUUUGUCCGGAAAGAAAACUUCUGGGUUAAUACCCCGGGAGGAUGACGGUACCGGAAGAAUAAGCACCGGCUAACUACGUGCCAGCAGCCGCGGUAAUACGUAGGGUGCAAGCGUUAAUCGGAAUUACUGGGCGUAAAGCGUGCGCAGGCGGUUCGCUAAGACAGAUGUGAAAUCCCCGGGCUUAACCUGGGAACUGCAUUUGUGACUGGCGGGCUAGAGUAUGGCAGAGGGGGGUAGAAUUCCACGUGUAGCAGUGAAAUGCGUAGAGAUGUGGAGGAAUACCGAUGGCGAAGGCAGCCCCCUGGGCCAAUACUGACGCUCAUGCACGAAAGCGUGGGGAGCAAACAGGAUUAGAUACCCUGGUAGUCCACGCCCUAAACGAUGUCAACUAGUUGUCGGGUCUUCAUUGACUUGGUAACGUAGCUAACGCGUGAAGUUGACCGCCUGGGGAGUACGGUCGCAAGAUUAAAACUCAAAGGAAUUGACGG
rnacentral:rRNA from 1 species